rnacentral:lncRNA from 1 species
CACUAGGCUUCCUACUAUCACUGUCAUUAGACUCUACAUCAUCAUCCUCAUCUUCGUCAUCAAUAGGAUUAGGAUCAUAACUAACAACGGCUUUAUUUUCGAAUAAAGUUAUAUCGAUCGUUGUGGUUCCCAAUCUUCCAACUCGGGUAUGACAGCAUGUGGCUAAUUACGUGGUACAGGAUCAUCAGAUCAUGCUCCAUAAUAGUUGCCACUUAACUAAGAUCGGCCCCUGCAUCAUCAAAUGUAGUAUUACUCCAAUAUUGAUACGUAGCCUCUACUCCGACCAUAUACUAAGAACAUCAGUUAUGGAUGUUGCUGGUCCACCAACCAUACAUACAGAAGUGCCUCUAUACUCAUACCCAGCUUCAUC